UACAGAGGCCCCAAGCGUUGUUCGGAUUUACUGGGCGUAAAGGGUGUGUAGGGGGUCGUGUAAGUUUGACGUGAAAUCCCGUUGCUCAACAACGGAACUGCGUCGAAUACUGCUCGGCUGGAGGUUCGGAGAUGAGGGCGGAAUUCUCGGUGUAGCGGUGAAAUGCGUAGAUAUCAGAAGGAACAUCAAUGGCGAAGGCAGCUUUCUGGACCAAUACUGACGCUGAGGUACGAAAGCGUGGGUAGCAAACAGG
rnacentral:rRNA from 1 species